rnacentral:tRNA from 1 species
CAGAAAAUAAUUUAAAUAAAAUAUUAGUUUUGGGGGCUAAAAAUGGGAGUAAUCUCUUUUCUGA